UAGGGUGACCAACCAUCCAUCCUGGUUUGCUGGGGACUGAGAGGUUUCUCAGGAUUUCCAGUGUUAAAACCGGGACAAGUCCUAGGCAAACCAGGAUGGAUGGUCACCCUAAAUACAC
rnacentral:pre_miRNA from 1 species